CCCUACGGGGCGCAGCAGUGAGGAAUAUUGGUUAAUGGGAGAGAUCCUGAACCAGCCAAGCCGCGUGAGGGAAGACGGCCCUAUGGGUUGUAAACCUCUUUUGUCGGAGAACAAAACCCGGGACGUGUCCCGGACUGCGUGUAUCCGAAGAAAAAGCAUCGGCUAACUCCGUGCCAGCAGCCGCGGUAAUACGGAGGAUGCGAGCGUUAUCCGGAUUUAUUGGGUUUAAAGGGUGCGUAGGCGGGAUGCCAAGUCAGCGGUAAAAAUGCGGUGCUCAACGCCGUCGAGCCGUUGAAACUGGCGUU
rnacentral:rRNA from 1 species